rnacentral:rRNA from 1 species
UGGCGAACGGGUGAGUAACGCGUGAGUAACCUGCCUUUCAGAGGGGAAUAACGUUCUGAAAAGAACGCUAAUACCGCAUAACGUACAGUUACCGCAUGGUAGCAGUACCAAAGGAGCAAUCCGCUGAAAGAUGGACUCGCGUCCGAUUAGCUAGUUGGUGGGGUAAAGGCCUACCAAGGCGACGAUCGGUAGCCGGACUGAGAGGUUGAACGGCCACAUUGGGACUGAGACACGGCCCAG